rnacentral:rRNA from 1 species
UGCAUAUCAAAAAGCGGAGGAAAAGAAACCAACAGGGAUUGCCUCAGUAACGGCGAGUGAAGCGGCAAGAGCUCAAAUUUGAAAGCUGGCCCCCUCGGGGUCCGCAUUGUAAUUUGCAGAGGAUGCUUCGGGAGCGGCCCCCAUCUAAGUGCCCUGGAACGGGCCGUCAUAGAGGGUGAGAAUCCCGUCUGGGAUGGGGUGUCCGCGCCCGUGUGAAGCUCCUUCGACGAGUCGAGUUGUUUGGGAAUGCAGCUCUAAAUGGGUGGUAAAUUUCAUCUAAAGCUAAAUACUGGCCGGAGACCGAUAGCGCACAAGUAGAGUGAUCGAAAGAUGAAAAGCACUUUGAAAAGAGAGUUAAACAGCACGUGAAAUUGUUGAAAGGGAAGCGCUUGCGACCAGACUCGCCCGCGGGGUUCAGCCGGCAUUCGUGCCGGUGUACUUCCCCGCGGGCGGGCCAGCGUCGGUUUGGGCGGCCGGUCAAAGGCCCUCGGAAUGUAACGCCCCCCGGGGCGUCUUAUAGCCGAGGGUGCCAUGCGGCCAGCCCGGACCGAGGAACGCGCUCGGCUCGACGCUGCUAGCGCAGACU